GUCCCUGUAGCGCAAUGGAUAGCGCGUUGGACUUUUAAUCCAAAGGUCGUGGGUUCAAAUCCUACCUGGGAUG
rnacentral:tRNA from 1 species